rnacentral:rRNA from 1 species
UGCCAGCAGCCGCGGUAAAACCAGCACCUCAAGUGGUCAGGAGGAUUAUUGGGCCUAAAGCAUCCGUAGCCUGCUCUGUAAGUUUCCGGUUAAAUCCAUUCGCUCAACUGAUGGGCUGCCGGAAAAACUGCAAAGCUAGGGAGUGGGAGAGGUAGACGGUACUCGGUAGGAGGGGGUAAAAUCCUUUGAUCUAUUGAUGACCACCUGUGGCGAAGGCGGUCUACCAGAACACGUUCGACGGUGAGGGAUGAAAGCUGGGGGAGCAAACCGGAUUAGAUA